GAUGACGCCCAGAGACCACAAGUCACAGCUCUGCAAAAAGACAACGAGAGUUUUUCAAGGUCUGGAUUUUGCCCGUGUUCUACCUCCAUUCCAGACUCACCUGACAGGUCCACUGAUGCCAGCGCCAAGCUUUUGCGUCCAAUUUAUGUUGUAUUCCUCUAGAAUGGACGCCUCCUGCAAUUACGAUUUCAAGAUGACUUGACCAGUCAACCAAAUACUGAUGAUUGCUGAGCAAGUUAUCCAGUGGCUUUGUCAACUCUCUUCUAUUUCACACCAC